rnacentral:lncRNA from 1 species
UAUAAUUGGAAUAUUUAAAUUUGGGUCAUAUCCUACCUAUCUUAGGAAACGAACAAAAGAAUUCUACAGAGUUGUUUUAUACCGCAAAUAAAUAAUACCCCCUUCUCUAUAUUCUUUCCUGUUUGCAUUGGGUGGGGAUAUUAUUAGAAGAUGAGGCUGGUUUGGCUUAAAAAAUCAAGUAUCACUAAAAUUGUGCUUCCAGAUCCAAAACAGAGCUCUCAGGCGCUCAACGUUCUGUGGACCUUGCUUCCUCCAGAGGUGGCUGGGGACAGGUGCACCGAUCCACCAUGAACCAGAUUCAGGGAAAAAAAAAACCCACUGUUAGUUCUGCUGUUUGUACAAGACUGCGUUUGAUGGACCGAAGGCUUGACUCCUGUCUCGGAGACUCUCAAGGGCUAGCAAAAUAUACCCUGCUAAGAACAAAUUUUAGAUGUGAAGAUACGAAUGAAAUUGAAGGCGAGAUGAUGAGAUGAAACCUUGGCAUCAUUCGAACAAUAACCAAGAGAGACGAAAUACUGAGAUAUCAGCCAACAAUUUCCAUAUACUUUUCAUUGCUCCGCUGAGAAUUUAAUAUAUGCACACAAUGUAUUUUGAGGCUUCUUAAUCCCUUCAAUCCUUCUGGAUCCAUCCCUCUUCCCCACUUCAUGCCCAUUUAAUCCAAAUUUUGUCCCCGGUAUAAGCACAGUAUGGGGCCAUCCUCUGGAGCAUGAUUGACUCACCAGGGACCAACCAAACCCCUAGAGAAAACCGAUUGCUCCUCACUUCAGGGUGAAACCUCAGCCAGGGUGGAAGCUUGUGAGCCCAGACCUACACCCCAUGCUGGAUGCGGACGUCUUAAUCUCAGCACUCAAGAAAAACAACAUCCAACAUCCGAACACAUAACGAUUACUAGCAUAUCUGAACUGAGCAUCAAAAUACAUGAGUGAAAAGCUAACAAACCUCAAGAAACAGAGAGUUCAACAACAGUAGGCCUCCAUGUCCUACCCUAAGUAAUGGAGAAAGUAACUGGGAAGAGGAUCAGCAAGGAGACAGAAGACAUGAGCCACAUGUACGUCGUGCAGGUCCACUGAUGUCUGAAGAACAGUCCACCCCACAGCAGAGGAAUCCCACUUUCCUGAGCACACGCGCAAUACCCUCUAGACUACAUCAAUGGUAGGUCAUAAAAUAAGGCUCACUAAACCAAAGUGACUUCAUACCAACAAAGUACGUCUUUAGCCACGAGGACUCGUUCAAAACCAAGGGUUGGUGGUGUAGCUCCGUGGCACAAGGCAGGGAAUACGAAGCAGCACAAGGGGCUAGGAUAGAGNNNNNNNNNNNNNNNNNNUGUCUAGCGUGCAUGAAAUCCUGGGUUCAGUCCUCACCGUCAUCAGAUAAACGAAGUGUGGGAGAACACACCUAUGAUCCCAGCACUUGGGAGUUAGAUACAAGAGGAUCAGAAGUUCCGGGGCAUCCUUGGCUACAUGGCAGGCUUAAGCUGGUUUGGAAUAGAUGAGUUUAUGUUUUGAAUAAAAGAAAAGAAAACCAACGAGGAAAUGUAGGUAUUGCACAAAUGCAUAAAAAAUAUAGCAGGCUUUUAUUGUUCAUGACUUUCAGAAGUAUCUUCUUAUGGGGAGGGGUAAAAGAAAGGUGGUAGAGAGAGCAAAGCUCUUUCCUGGUAGGAAGGGUUCCAAGGAGUACCGGAAAACUGCCAGUCUGGGGACCUUUCAGAGGUUUGUGCUGGAAACUGGGAUGUAGAGGGGACUGGGCUUGUCAGGCCAGUUAGCUGUCCAGUGUCCAGCUGCCUCCUUUCAGUCUCAGUCCCUGAAUGGUACCCAGACUGAAGGCAGAGGUCCAGAUAAAGAAACAGUUAUCUUAUAGCGUUCCUAGCCUCCAGCAAGGACUUCUCAGAACUGCUACUUUGGGGCCCCGCUCUCCUUGGCUAACUACGAACUCUUUUUUGUGAAGAAGUAACACCAAAAUUAUCUAAGAACAACACCUGAGAUCAGAGUCUCCAGUAAAAAGUUACUAAAUAAACAACGGGCCAGGAUAGACAUGGUGGCACAUGCCUGGUAUACUAGAAGCCUGCUGCUGACACAGGAUGAUGGCCAUAAAUUAGAGGCCAGCCUGGGCUCCACAAUGAGACCCUACUCCAACAAACAAACAAACAAACAAACAAACAAAAUAACAUAACAAUGGGCCAAAGAACAAAUGGCAAAGGAGACUACAAAAUAUUUUGAAAUAAAUGACAAUAAAAGUUUGAAAAUUCUAGAAUCUAUGACAUUCAGCUAACGUGGGGUGAAAGUGAUUUAAUUCUACCAUUUAAAGAAGAGGGGAAAAAUUUCUAAAGUGACUGUCCUUGAUUUUUACUACAAGAAGCUUCUGGAGAAGAGCAAAGAAAGCACAAAGCAAGAAGAUGAGGAAAACAAAAGCAAAGAAGAAAUACAUAAAUAGUGGGAAACUGGGUGAAAAACAAUAAAUGGCUUUGAAAAGGUCAACUAAAUUGGCAAACAUUUAGUUAGACUGGCCUGGAAUGAAGAAUUAAACUACCAAAGCCAGAAACCAAAGAGAGAAUAUUACUACCAGCCACAGGGAAGAGAAGAUAUUGUGAAUGAAAACUAUGGAAAACUGUAUGUUAAAAAAUGACAUGCUAUAAAACUAGACAGACUAAUGAAACUGGACAAUUAGGUAACUUGGAUUAAACUAAUGCACUAAACAACAUCAAAGAUCUGACUAAAUUUGUAACAAAGAUACAGUUAGUAAUUUAAAAUCAUCCAGUGAGUAGUCCAGACCUAGUAGUUUCAUUAAUAAACUCUACCAAGGAGACCAUUACAGAAAACUAAAAGUCAUAAAGAUGUAGAGAUAAGAGACUGGUAUCUAGCCGCAUCUAUACCACAAUUCCUGCCCCCAAGGCUCAGGGAUCGUUGAAAGAGGUGGAAGGACUGUAAGAGUCAGAGAAACAAGGAGUUGGCUGUGAAAUUUUGUCUUUAGAAACUCCAGAGAGACCAUGCCCAUGAAGUCUCAGCAACAUGGCUGCCUAAACAUGACCUGAACAACCAAGACACCAACCGACAUGCCAACAAGGAAGAGGAAACGUUCUCUGGGCCUCAACUGUAGACAAAGAACUUUGGACAACCGGGGAGAGUGGGAGAAACGCUCUUCCCCAGAGAAGAACCUCCACAAUAGGGGUCUAAUAACAAAUGAUCAAUCCUGAGAUCAUGUACACACGAGGAACAUUAUAUGGAUUGAGCAGGUUAUAUCUUUGUAUUUAAGAAC